GAUGAACGCUGGCGGCGUGCCUAAUACAUGCAAGUCGAGCGAACAGACGAGGAGCUUGCUCCUCUGACGUUAGCGGCCGACGGGUGAGUAACACGUGGAUAACCUACCUAUAAGACUGGGAUAACUUCGGGAAACCGGAGCUAAUACCGGAUAAUAUAUUGAACCGCAUGGUUCAAUAGUGAAAGACGGUUUUGCUGUCACUUAUAGAUGGAUCCGCGCCGCAUUAGCUAGUUGGUAAGGUAACGGCUUACCAAGGCAACGAUGCGUAGCCGACCUGAGAGGGUGAUCGGCCACACGGGAACUGAGACACGGUCCAGACUCCUACGGGAGGCAGCAGUAGGGAAUCUUCCGCAAUGGGCGAAAGCUUGACGGAGCAACGCCGCGUGAGUGAUGAAGGUCUUCGGAUCGUAAAACUCUGUUAUUAGGGAAGAACAAAUGUGUAAGUAACUAUGCACGUCUUGACGGUACCUAAUCAGAAAGCCACGGCUAACUACGUG
rnacentral:rRNA from 1 species